rnacentral:rRNA from 1 species
UAGGGAAUUUUGGACAAUGGGCGAAAGCCUGAUCCAGCAAUGCCGCGUGCAGGAAGAAGGCCUUCGGGUUGUAAACUGCUUUUGUACGGAACGAAAAGGCUCUUUCUAAUAAAGGGGGCUCAUGACGGUACCGUAAGAAUAAGCACCGGCUAACUACGUGCCAGCAGCCGCGGUAAUACGUAGGGUGCGAGCGUUAAUCGGAAUUACUGGGCGUAAAGCGUGCGCAGGCGGUUCUAUAAGACAGAUGUGAAAUCCCCGGGCUCAACCUGGGAACUGCAUUUGUGACUGUAUAGCUAGAGUACGGUAGAGGGGGAUGGAAUUCCGCGUGUAGCAGUGAAAUGCGUAGAUAUGCGGAGGAACACCGAUGGCGAAGGCAAUCCCCUGGACCUGUGCUGACGCUCAUGCACGAAAGCGUGGGGAGCAAACAGGAUUAGAUACCCAUGUAGUCCCUGAGCGGGCUGGCAAGGCGCAU